rnacentral:lncRNA from 1 species
GAGAUGGUAGAAUUAAUCCCGGUAGAGGAUUCAUAUAGACAUCCUCAACAAGAUCACCAUGAAGAAAGGCGGUAUUAACAUCAAGUAUUAACAUACUUGAUAGGUGGUUUUAAUCAGGGAGCUGCCACCUCCCUUAUAUAUCAGAGUGUGGUUGUUGAAUUAUGAUUGGUUUUCAAAGGAGGUGACAUCCUUCUUUUUCAUUUAAAAGGACAAUCAUGUUUUUUCGAGAAGGGGAAAAAUGAAGAAAAAAGGACCUACCGAUUACAAUGAAAAACUCUACACCCUAAUCCCACCACAAGCAAUCCCUCUACACCCCAAAUCCAUUACACCUCAAAUCCGUUACACCCCAAUCCCACUACAAAAUAAAGCAUAAAUAUACAAACAUAAGCGCUUCUAGUACUCCUUCGAGAAUCCAUCGUCAAGGUUUCCGAAGUCCCAUACUCUUGGAGCAAAUGGUCGGAGGUCGCGUCCAUACUGUCAAGGAAGAAGAAAGAAAAAUCAGUUUUCUUCCUUUAAAAAAAGGUUGGUAUUUCUAAAUGAGUCUCUUCCUAAUUCUCACAUACCAUUCACAUCCUGGCUCAAUACAUGUCAAUAUGCUUGUUAUACUAGUAUCUGUCUUACUAUCAUUUACGCAACCUCUAAUAAUUUACGCAACCUCUAAUAUAAUAUUCACUACAACUAUAAGCUAAACAGCCAACUUAAACAAACAAAGGGUUCAAGGAUAAAAUGAAACUUUUUUGUUCACGAAAGGAUGCUAAAAACAUAUUAACAAUGGAUUAAGCAACCUCCUAUUACCUUUUUACACUAUUUACACCAAGAAUUUAAGAGUCACAAAAUUACUCAUAACAUGACGUCGAAAUCAAGCAAAAAUAUGAGAUCUUUGUUAAAAUAUGUUGCUGGAAAUUUAUGAAAAAUGUCAAAUAACUAAGACUUUCAAACGAAUAAGCCGCUUCCGUUAGCAUGAAAAAACUAAAUACCAUAAAAGGACUCGAAAUUUGGAAUCAAUUUCACAAAUAAAUUAUGAGUUAUCUUAACAAUUUUAUGGCUGGGAUUUUACAAAAAANNNNNNNNNNNNCAAAAAAAAUCAGUUCAGUCAAAUCUUUCAAAGGAAGUCUUUUUUUUUGUGGUGUCAAAAUGGUUGGAUUCGCUUUGGUAUUGGGAGCCAAAGUUUUCAUCCUUCGAAGUACGUUUUUACAAAAAUGAUAAGUCCUUUUUUUUAAUCGAGUCAAAAAGUAAUGUCGUAACUGCAGUUCCAAAUUCAUACCUAACUGCUUUUCAUCUUCCCAAGUCCGGUCCCUCCUGCUCUCCGUCGUUCUUGAGCGAUUUGCACCCUUCUAUUAUACCUGCAAAAAUACACUAUCAGAACCAACCUUUAAUUUUCAAAUAAGGUAAAACUUGACUAAGACAAAGUGGAUAGAUUUCUCACCAAGUAGCGGUCGUCUUUUGGCGGUUCGGUUUCGCCGUCAGUGGUCCUCCGGCCAAGAGCCUUGUCCCCUUCUCCACCGAUCCCCAACUCCAUUGAAAACAGAAACCAAAAUAAAGACAACAAAAAGCAGAGAAAGGCCACAAAAAUAAAAAACUCAAACCUUAGAUCUACAGAUCGGGACUUGCAGACGACAUGCAAGCCUGGAUCGAAGAAAAACAGAAAAAAAAACAUGAGUAGAAAGGGAAUUUUCAUGUUUUUUUACCUUUUCUUCCUUCUUUUUCCUUCCUUUGACGUUGUGGUAGAAGAGAGAAAGCGGAGGCGACCGUCGCCGUCGCUGCUGGCGAGACAAAAAAAGAGAAAGAAAAAAGCGGAGACAGUGGCAGAAAAAGAAAACAGUAGAGGAGGAAAGAUGGGGAGAAAGAGAAGAAGGAAAAGAAGAGAAGGAAAGAGAUGGAGGCGACGGCCGCCGUCUUUGUCGUUGAGAGAGGAGGAAAGAGGUCGAGAGGGAGCAGAGGAGAAGGAAAGGCACGAAGAAGAAGAGAAGAAAAAUGAAAAUAAAAAAAAGAGAAGAAGGGGGAGUGACAACGACGCCGCCGUCGACGGAAGUGAAAGGAAAGUGUAGAGAGAAGGGAGAGGGUUUGGGAGGAAGAGAGAGCACGCUAGGGUUUGAAAGGGAUGUUUUUAGUUUAAGAGUGGUAUUUAUAUCGUCCAGGUAAGUUAUGAUUUUGCCCCCCACGUUCCUUCUU